rnacentral:rRNA from 1 species
UUGACCUCGGAUCAGGUAGGGCUACCCGCUGAACUUAAGCAUAUCAAUA